AAGGAGGGACGGUCUGCCGCGCCGGAAGCAUCCGGUGAGGAAAGUCCGGACAGGAAAGGGCACUUCACUGCGGAAAGCGCAGACGGGAGCAAUCUCGUGGAAGCCGUAACAGAAAACAACCGCAUCCGGUGAAGCGGUGCAACCCGCGGAGAAUGCAAGGGUGAAAACGUGAGGCAAGAGCUCACGACGGGCUGUGGCGACACCGUCCGGGUACGGACCUGAAGCCUGCAAGACCAAAUAUACUGACAGUCAAGGGCUGCCCGUCCGAUGUCAGGGGGUAGGUUGCGAAGAUAAAUGGCAGAAUGAAACAGAAACCGGCUUACGGUUCCUCCUUUAGC
rnacentral:RNase_P_RNA from 1 species